rnacentral:rRNA from 1 species
GGGAGUGAAAUAGAACCUGAAACCCUGCACUUACAAGGUGUGGGAGCACAGUACUUGUGUGACCGCGUACUUUUUGUAGAACGGGCCAACGAGUUACGUUAAGUAGCAAGGUUAAGCACUUAAGGUGUGGAGCCGUAGCGAAAGCGAGUCUUAAAUGGGCGAUUAAGUUACUUGGCGUAGACCCGAAACCGGGCGACCUAUCCAUGAGCAGGUUGAAGCGAAAGUAAAAUUUCGUGGAGGACCGAACCCACGAGCGUUGAAAAGCUCGGGGAUGACUUGUGGAUAGCGGUGAAAUUCCAAUCGAGCCCGGAGAUAGCUGGUUCUCCCCGAAAUAGCUUUAGGGCUAGCCUCAAGCGUAGAGAAACGGAGGUAGAGCACUGAAUGUCCUAGGGGGUAUUGCACUUACCGAAGACUAUCAAACUCCGAAUGCCGUUUUCUUUUACUUGGGAGUCAGACUGUGGGUGAUAAGAUUCAUAGUCAAAAGGGCAACAGCCCAGAUCGUCAGCUAAGGUCCCUAAAUGUACGUUAAGUGGUAAAGGAUGUGGGAUUGCACAGACAACCAGGAUGUUGGCUUAGAAGCAGCCACUCAUUUAAAGAGUGCGUAAUAGCUCACUGGUCGAGUGAUCCUGCGCCGAAAAUUUCCGGGGCUAAAACGUACUACCGAAGCUACGGCAUCAUUUAUGAUGGGUAGGGGAGCUUCGUAUGCAGGCUGAAGCAUGACCGUAAGGACAUGUGGACAGUAUACGAGUGAGAAUGUUGGCAUGAGUAGCGAGACGUGGGUGAGAAUCCCACGGGCCGUAAACCCAAGGUUUCCAGGGGAAGGUUCGUCCGCCCUGGGUUAGUCGGGACCUAAGCCGAGGCCGAAAGGCGUAGGUGAUGGACAACAGGUUGAUAUUCCUGUACCGCCAAUAAGCGUUUGAGAGAUGGAGUGACACAGUAGGAUAAGCUAACCGUACUGUUGGUUAUGUACGGCUAAGCAUUGAGGCAGUCUAAAUAGGCAAAUCCGUUUAGACAAUGCUAGGAUGUGAUGGGGAAGCCCUUCGGGGCGAAGUAGCUGAUUUCACACUGUCAAGAAAAGCUUCUAUCGAGUUUAAAGGCGCCCGUACCGUAAACCGACACAGGUGGGUGAGGAGAGUAUCCUAAGGCCAGCGAGAGAACUAUUGUUAAGGAACUCGGCAAAAUGACCCCGUAACUUAGGGAGAAGGGGUGCCUGUCUAUGACAGGCCGCAGAGAAUAGGCCCAAGCGACUGUUUACCAAAAACACAGGUUUCUGCUAAGUCGCAAGACGAUGUAUAGGAGCUGACGCCUGCCCGGUGCUGGAAGGUUAAGGGGAUCUGUUAGAGCAAUCGAAGCAGUGAACUUAAGCCCCAGUAAACGGCGGCCGUAACUAUAACGGUCCUAAGGUAGCGAAAUUCCUUGUCGGGUAAGUUCCGACCC